GGCCAGCUCCCUCUGAACCCCGUCAGGGCCGGAAGGCAGCAGCGGUAGGAGGUCGCAGCGGCGCGCUGCGGGUCGCUUGCCCUU
rnacentral:SRP_RNA from 1 species